AAGCCAGCAAAAUAAAUCUGCUUUCUUGAAUGUGUUGGCAGAAUUUUCAAAAUAGCUGGCAAUAGUAAAGCCAUGAUACGAGCCUUAAUGGCAUUGAGGUUGUUAAGAUCCCUGAAAGUGGCUACAGAA